rnacentral:rRNA from 1 species
GACGAACGCUGGCGGCGUGCUUAACACAUGCAAGUCGAGCGGAAAGGCCACUUCGGUGGUACUCGAGCGGCGAACGGGUGAGUAACACGUGAGUAAUCUGCCCCUGGCUUUGGGAUAGCCACCGGAAACGGUGAUUAAUACCGGAUACGACCACUUCUCGCAUGGGAUGGUGGUGGAAAGUUUUUUCGGCCAGGGGUGUGCUCGCGGCCUAUCAGCUUGAUGGUGAGGUAAUGGCUCACCAUGGCUUCGACGGGUAGCCGGCCUGAGAGGGUGGCCUGUAACACUGGGCUGGAGACACGGCCCAGACUCGUACGGGAGGCAGGAGUGGGGAAUAGUGGACAAUGGGCGGAAGCCUGAUCCAGCAACGCCGCGUGAGGGAUGACGGCCUUCGGGUUGUAAACCUCUUUCAGCAGGGACGAAGCGCAAGUGACGGUACCUGCAGAAGAAGCACCGGCCAACUACGUGCCAGCCGCCGCCGUAA